CUGAUUUCUGGGGAAAGUGCAAUGUUGGGUGUUUCUAUCCCUGUCCCAACAGGAAGAACUAAGUGUAGGACAGAAGGACAAGUCCAGGCCCAGAUUUCCCUUUAGACUGGAACCUGAUGGACUUCUUCAGUCCAGGCAGGCAGGCAGGAUCUCAUUUUGGGAGGGACAGCCCCUGCUGCAGUUUGGCAGGUGGACACAGGGACAGACAGACAGGAAGUGAUGAAAAUGACAGCAUCCAAGAAGAAGAUUUCAGGGAAUCUGCUGUAUCUGCCUUCUGUGAGCUUCCCAGGUACUGAAGCAGUUCCUAAGAUUUUACUGAGAGAAAAAGAGAGAGUUCAAAGCGAACCGCAUAGCCUAAUAGGACAGAUAGGCGCACAGGUACAAAUGUGGACUUCCGGUGUUGCGUGUAGUACUUUUCCCAGAAUUCC
rnacentral:lncRNA from 1 species